rnacentral:rRNA from 1 species
CAUGCCGUAAACGGUGGGCGCUAGGUGUAGGGGUCUUCCACGACUUCUGUGCCGUAGCUAACGCAUUAAGCGCCCCGCCUGGGGAGUACGGCCGCAAGGCUAAAACUCAAAGGAAUUGACGGGGGCCCGCACAAGCGGCGGAGCAUGUGGAUUAAUUCGAUGCAACGCGAAGAACCUUACCUGGGCUUGACAUACACCGGACCGGGCCAGAGAUGGUCCUUCCCUUGUGGCUGGUGUACAGGUGG